CUCCUGGAUUCAGCGGCGGACGGGUGAGUAAUGCCUAGGAAUCUGCCUGGUAGUGGGGGACAACGUUUCGAAAGGAACGCUAAUACCGCAUACGUCCUACGGGAGAAAGCAGGGGACCUUCGGGCCUUGCGCUAUCAGAUGAGCCUAGGUCGGAUUAGCUAGUUGGUGAGGUAAUGGCUCACCAAGGCGACGAUCCGUAACUGGUCUGAGAGGAUGAUCAGUCACACUGGAACUGAGACACGGUCCAGACUCCUACGGGAGGCAGCAGUGGGGAAUAUUGGACAAUGGGCGAAAGCCUGAUCCAGCCAUGCCGCGUGUGUGAAGAAGGUCUUCGGAUUGUAAAGCACUUUAAGUUGGGAGGAAGGGCAGUAAAUUAAUACUUUGCUGUUUUGACGUUACCGACAGAAUAAGCACCGGCUAACUCUGUGCCAGCAGCCGCGGUAAUACAGAGGGUGCAAGCGUUAAUCGGAAUUACUGGGCGUAAAGCGCGCGUAGGUGGUUCGUUAAGUUGAAUGUGAAAUCCCCGGGCUCAACCUGGGAACUGCAUCCAAAACUGGCGAGCUAGAGUAUGGUAGAGGGUGGUGGAAUUUCCUGUGUAGCGGUGAAAUGCGUAGAUAUAGGAAGGAACACCAGUGGCGAAGGCGACCACCUGGACUGAUACUGACACUG
rnacentral:rRNA from 1 species